UACGGAGGGGCAAGCGUUGUCCGGAUUUAUUGGGCGUAAAGAGCGUGUAGGCGGCCACACAGGUCAGCUGUGAAAACUCGAGGCUCAACCUCGAGACGUCGGUUGAAACCGUAUGGCUAGAGUCCGGAAGAGGAGAGUGGAAUUCCCGGUGUAGCGGUGAAAUGCGUAGAUAUCGGAAGGAACACCGGUGGCGAAGGCGGCUCACUGGCUCAUUUCUGACGCUCAGGCGCGACAGCGUGGGGAUCAAACAGG
rnacentral:rRNA from 1 species